GAUGAACGCUGGCGGCGUGCCUAAUACAUGCAAGUCGAGCGAACGAACGAGAAGCUUGCUUCUCUGAUGUUAGCGGCGGACGGGUGAGUAACACGUGGAUAACCUACCUAUAAGACUGGGAUAACUUCGGGAAACCGGAGCUCAUACCGGAGAAUAUUUUGAACCACAUGCUUCCAAUGUGAAAGACGGUCUUGCUGACACUUAUAGAUGGAUCCGAGCUGCAUUAGCUAGUUGGUAAGGUAACGGCGUACCAAGGCAACGAUGCAUAGCAGCCCUGAGAGCGUCGGCGGCCACCCGGGAACUGAGACUCGGUCCCGACACCUACGGGGGGCCGCAGUACGGAAUCUUACGCAAUGGGGGAAAGCCUGACGGAGCACCGCCGAGUGAGUGAUGAAGGUCUUCGGAUCGUAAAACUCUGUUAUUAGGGAAGAACAUAUGUGUAAGUAACUGUGCACAUCGUGACGGUACCUAAUCAGAAAGCCACGGCUAACUACGUG
rnacentral:rRNA from 1 species